UGUGCUUCCUUCUACUAAUUUUGGGUUUCAUUUGUACUUUCUCUAGUUCCUUGAGGUGUAAAGAUGGCUCAGACCGUAAAGUGUCUGCCUGCAAUGUGGGGAGACCUGGGUUCGAUCCCUGUGUUGGGAAGCUCCCCUGAAGAAGGAAAUGGCAACCCACUCCAGUACUCUUGCCUGGAAAAUUCCAUGGACAAGAGGAGCCUUGUAGGCUAUAGUCCAUGGGGUUGCAAAGAGUCGGACAUGACUGAGUGACUUCACUUCACUUUGUCUGAUGUAUAACUAUUCAAGCUUUCUUUUGGUGGCUAUUUGCAUGGAUUAUCCUUUCCCACCCUACACUUUCAAUCUACCUGUAUUCCUACAUCCAAAGUGAGUCUCUUAUAGGCAGCCUAUAAAUGAGUCUUGUUCUUGUAUCUGUCUCCUUUCUAUGUCUUUUUUUUUUUUUUGCCAUACCACAUGUUACAUGGGAUCUUAUUUCCCAACCAAGGAUCAAACCCUUUACCCCUGCAUUGGAAGCACAGAGUCUUAACCACUAGCCACCAGAGAAUUCCCUCUAUGUCUUUCAACUGGAGAAGUUAGUUCAUGUACAUUUAAAGUAAUUAUUGAUACAUAUGUGCUUAUUCUUUGUUUUCUGGCUGUUUUAUAGUGCUUCUCUGCUCCUAUCUUCUCUUGCCUUCUUUGUGAUUUGAUGACUUUCUUUAGAGGUAUGCUCACAUUCCUUUCUCUUUUUCUUUGGUGUAUUUACUAUAAGUUUUUGCUUUGGGUGUACCAUGAGGCUUACACAUAACUUACAGCUGUAAUAGUCUAUUUUAAGUUGAUAACAACUUAAGUUGGACCCCACUGCAAAGCUUGACAUUAUUCCUUCCCCAUUCCCUCAUUCCCCGUGUUUCACGGUUCUGAUGUCACAUUUGACAUCUUUUUAUCUGUUGUCUCCCUUAACUAAUUGUUGUAAUCACAGUUGUUUGCACUACUUUUGUCUUUCAACCUUCAUACUAGUUUCAUAAAUGAUUAAAGUGCAUUGAGUGGGUAUUUUUCUGAAAGGGACCUCAAACAUGCCAAAGUCAGCCUCAUGGGCUAUGUGUGUGUGCAGUCCUAGGACUGUACAUACCGAGGCUGGACCACAUAGGUGCAGUCAGCAUCACUUAGCCUUGAAGAGUGGAGUGUGUAGAAAAGUGGAUGGUGCGUUCAUUGUGUCUGUGUCCCAACAGACGAUACCAGCCUCGUGUGGAUGUUGCCCAGAGACUCUUUUCCUGGUUCUGGGCUUGGUGGUAGGAAGGGCAGAGGGAGAAACGACGUAGGAGAAAGCCUUAACGCAGCGCCCAAACGGAAUUUCCUCCCCUGCUGAAAGUUAGAUCCAAUUCACACCCUCGCACAGCCUGAAGGCUGGUGCCGGCUCUGUUUGAUAACAUCACAGCAAACGGCCGCCUUGUCUCUAUUUUGGUCCUUGCCACUGCUGCUUCUCUCUGCACCUUUCAAGAAGCGCUCCUUCCCUUCUGGAAGGCUGGGGUGCCAAGCUCCCCCAGCUCCUUCCCAUUUUGGUAAAUUAAGGGACAAAUGGUGCCAAAUUGUUCUCGUCUCUUUCACGAAACUAUUCGUAACCAGCUUAUUUUCUUUUCCUCCAUUGAGUGAGCACGUUAAAACUAAAAUUAAAUCAUUACCCAAAGCACAGACAACGAUCCCCUUCAUAAUUACAUCCUCUUAAUUGGCAUCUGAGGACCCAGCUCAUUUUUACACUUGCUGGAAAAUGUCUCAGGCAUAUUUAAUGGUUUUUUUUUUUUUAAGGUUUAAAGGUCAACAAGAAUAUCUUACCUUAAUUUGACAAGCGUGCAAGAAAUAAUGCAAGACUGGUUUAUGUUCAGGUCCUUGAUGGUUACCUCUGCCUUCCUUUUGAGAGCCUUCACUGGCUGAGAGAACACACAGCCUCGGGGAACUCCACCCUCCAGCAUGAUGGAUGUUGGGGCUUGGUCCUGACCAAGAUAGGAAGAGGUACUGUGGCUUUGUGGGGGAGGGAAAGAAAGUCUCUGAGCAAUUAGGGCUUGGAAAAACAAGUGGUAUUGUUUCACCACCUUCCCCAGAGGGUCAACAGUAGUAAUUCUCCAGGGGGAUGGGAGGAAGAGAGACAGAUGAAGCUCUGGCAGAUGGAUCAGUAUCUGGGAAGGGAGAGGAAGAUUUGAAAGGCUUGAAAAAGAAUACUUUGCCAUUGGAGACGUGUUUUGUGGAGAGGGUUCAAAGUAUAAAAUUAGAUUUUCAUAAUCAAGCUAUAGAAAGGAAAGCUUCUCUCAAUUCUCCUGGCAGGUGGGACUCUGGAAUUUUGAAUGAAAGAGAUUCUGAGCUUUUGCUCUCUGACACUAGUGUUAUGUAUGCUGUGGACUAAUAUUGUGUGUUUAUGUUGACAUGAGUACUGUAGUUCCCGUUACACAUCAUAAAAAUAUGCACUUUCUGUUUUACAGUGAAGAUAUGCUUUGGGGAAAAGUUUGAUUUUUGUUUUUACUAAAGAGUAGCACAAAAAAGGGGACAGUGAGGUUGUUCUAUCUUCCGUUCUAUCCUUUCCAAGAGUUGAAGUUGGUCCUAACACUACACAAGCUGGACAUCAAAGUAAAAUCAUUUCCAUCACCACAGUACACUGUGCUCACCACUUUUUAUGCAAAAGAAACCCAUAGCCAUAUUCCUGCUUCUUGGAGCCUGUGUGUGGAUGGGUGCCUGGCCUGCCCCCACUGCCCUCUGCCUGCUGGCCCCAGAGGUCACACUGCCAUCUACAAAUCAAAUUGAACAUCAAGUUUUGCUUUCUUUGGUCCUUUCUGGGACAAAACUAAUGGUAAUGAUGCAUGAGGUUUAUAUCAAGGGUAGAUUUAUCUGUAGUGCGAAGAGGAGGUGCACCUUCCUUGAGGCAUUGGCAAAUUCUGGACAGUCAUGCCAAACCACUCUCAUAGCUUAAACUGUUGGGCCAAGAUCACAUGAACUUUAUUCUAAAGCCUGUGGGUCUAAUUUUUCCCUGCAGAACGUCAUUCUCUGCUUCACAUGAAAGAAACUAGCAUUAUCAGGAUGUUGUCACCAACCUGUGCAAAACUCUUGCACACUUCAAGGAUACAGAUUCUCACCUUUUGGAAACUCCCAUGAAAUCUACAUUGAGGCAGCCAGACCUUGCCUUAGUGAAGAAGCUGAAAACACAGCCUGGAGGAAAUCCAUUACUAGGGUGGUGGGGUAAAAGUUUUGCAAAAGGUCAGCUCUAUUAUUUGGCUAUUAGUUGUGAUGAAUGGGUGAUAAAUGACACCAUGCACAGCUACCCAGGUGUGUGUGAUCCAUGGCUCGGGAGCCAGUCCGGGAGGAAACGCUGUUUUUCUAAGCCUUGGAGACUACCAAUGGAAUUGAUUAUGUCUCUGAACUGGAGUCAGAGUUCUUCGAAGUAAAUGAGCCGAAUUGGAAAAUAAUAUUAGACUUCCAUUAGGGGUGUUCUUACAAAGCCAAAUUCAAGAAAAGGACUCUGUGUGUGUAUGUCUGUGUGUGUGUGUCUGUGUGUGGAUACAAGGGAAAGCCUCAUAAAUAUUUUCAGAAUAUACUCCAUCAUUCUCUGCCAAGUUUCAGCAUUUGCCAGUUUUUAAAGAAG
ensembl:lncRNA